rnacentral:piRNA from 1 species
CCAGAAGACAUGAGGAAUGCCUACCGUC